rnacentral:lncRNA from 1 species
UAGUGCUGCAUCAGACUUCAUAUAACUCACGGUGCAUUUCUUUUAUUUUCAUUUUCGUUUCUUUGAUUGGAAAAGCAAGAGAAGAGGCAUUGAUUGAUGGAGGCUCACAUGUCAUUUCAUUUAGUUGUAGGAGCUAGUUUCAACUUUCAAACGCUGAUUUAGUUUAAUGAAGAUGUGCACGGUGAUCUUGUGGUUAUUUGAUUUCACUUUCUUUGAGAAAGGACGGUGCUGAAGGAAUGUUUUUAAUCUUUUUAAGCAAGGAGCUCACAUCUAGAAUUUUGAGCAGUUGUCACGUGGUCCUCUGUUAGGAGUAGCAUCUACAUUUUCUUUAGAGAUAAGGCUCAUUUAAUUUUCAAAUAGGAAUAACUGUCAUCCAGCAUUUGAAUAACAUUUCUAGAAUUUUAGUUCAUUCAAUUACUAAAUNCGUGCAUUUGAAUUUUACUUCAUCAUUUCUCUAUUGAAUAUUUCAUUUUCAAUUUUCUUUUUUUU